rnacentral:rRNA from 1 species
CCUACGGGAGGCAGCAGUGAGGAAUAUUGGUCAAUGGGCGGAAGCCUGAACCAGCCAAGUCGCGUGCGGGAUGAAGGCCCUACGGGUCGUAAACCGCUUUUGCACGGGGAUAACACCCUCCACUUGUGGCGGUCUGCAUGUACCGUACGAAUAAGCGCCGGCUAAUUCCGUGCCAGCAGCCGCGGUAAUACGGAAGGUCCGAGCGUUAUCCGGAUUCAUUGGGCUUAAAGGGAGCGUAGGCGGGCGUUAAAGUCAGCUGUAAAAUCGCGGGACUCAACCGCGCACCGCAGUUGAAACUGGACGCCUUGAGUUCACAAGAGGCAGGCGGAAUUCGUGGUGUAGCGGUGAAAUGCAUAGAUAUCACGAGGAACCCCGAUUGCGAAGGCAGCCUGCCGGGGUGCGACUGACGCUGAGGCUCGAAGGUGCGGGUAUCAAACAGGAUUAGAUACCCUUGUAGUC